GGGCCGAUAGCUCAAUUGGCAGAGCAGCUGACUCUUAAUCAGCGGGUUGGGAGUUCGAUCCUCCCUCGGCCCA
rfam:Leptospirillum ferrodiazotrophum TBAL3_7892_3, whole genome shotgun sequence.